rnacentral:rRNA from 1 species
CGUGCAGGUGGUUCGGUAAGUUGGGCGUGAAAUCUCCCGGCUCAACUGGGAGAGGUCGUCCAAUACUACCGAACUUGAGAGCAGAAGAGGAAGAUGGAAUUCCCGGUGUAGUGGUGAAAUGCGUAGAUAUCGGGAGGAACACCAGUGGCGAAGGCGAUCUUCUGUCUGUUUCUGACACUCAGACGCGACAGCUAGGGUGUAAACG